rnacentral:lncRNA from 1 species
UCUCUGGAGGUUGCUUUGAACUCUGUUAGCUCUUCUCUCACUAUCUUUUUCCCUGCCAGGGUAAUAGGAAUAUAAUUCUUUUGUUUCACUGAAACUCUGAAUUUAUAACCUGAUUUUGGUGGACCUGUGGGCUCAAAUGAGAGAGGCCCAAGUCCAAAAAAUUUCUGUUAUAUUUUAUUUAUUUAUUUUUUUUUAUUUUUUUUUACACACGUGAGCUACGCCUAGCGAGCAUGACAGUUCAAGAAAUUCC